rnacentral:rRNA from 1 species
GAAGGUAUCAGUACACGUAGCAAUGCUCAGAUUCAAGCUUUUCGAGAUGCCACAGACGUUUGCAUGUUGCUGGAUAUUGGGUAUAAGGGGCCGUUUUGGACUUUUGAGAAAAAAGUCGCAGGGGGUACGUACACCAGGUGCAGGUUGGAUCGGGCGCUCGCCAAUGCAGACUGGGCUUCUCGCUUUCCUAUGGCUUUUUUGAAGCAUCAUUCGGCGGCUACAUCCGAUCAGAGCGUGAUAUUGCUCAGCCUGGGAAGAAGUAACGAGGGCACGACUAGCCGGUCUUUCCGAUACGAGGCGGUGUGGGAAAAGCAUGAGGGUUUUGGUGGCGUGGUAAUAGAGGAGUGGGCGGCCGGCGACCCAUGCGUUAGUGUUCAGCAACUCCAUGAUAAACUAGUUCAGGUCUCCAAGGGAUUGACCAGAUGCAACAAGCAUACUUUCGGGUGCGUACGCAAGGAAAUCAAGGAGCUUAAAAGUAAACCG